CUAAACGAUUUCAUUUCCAAAAGGAGAAUCUGUGCUCUGAAUUUCCUCUGACUUCCUCCAUUUAGGAUCUGUGCGUCCACCCAAGAUGGUCCCUUAAUGACGCACAUGCAAGAGGGCAUCAUUGGGUAAACACUUGGGGCCUGCCCACUGUGUGCCGGUCAGUGACAGCCCUGGACAGUUCACCCUGUCGUGCGCUUGCCCAGUGAGGCCCCCACCCCCACCCCAGGUCUCGCUCGUUCAGCACGUAGUGGAAGUUUCUCUCCAUGUAGAUCGAUUUCCCAAAUGUUUCCACUGCUUGCCUCACAUUAGCCACAAACAAAACCCCGGAGAGAGAGCUCUCCCCUUCUCUGGCCACAACAAUACAAAUGGGGCAGUUCCUCCUGGAGGCCUCUGUGGGCCGUGCCUUUCUGUCUGUCCUGGGGGUGGCUGCUCCUGAGGGCGUCCAUGAGUCCUGGGUCCUGCUGCCCCUGGUGCCCGGCCUUCCGUGCCCCCAAAUCCGUGCCUCGACUUCCAUGACCCCCAGUCAGAGGCCCGCUUGGCCCAGUCACCCCUCCUAGGUGCGUGGCGGGUGCUACAGGGAGCCCCUCCUCACUUGCACAUUGUGCCCUCAGAGCUGUACCUGCCUCCCCAAUCCUGUGGACUCCUGCUCAGUGUCCAGCCCUCGCGUCCCCACCCCACACCAGAGAAAGUCAUGCCAGGUCUCCUGACGCCCUCCUUACUGUGCUACCUGCCGGGAUUUCCAUCCCCCUCCCCUGCCCACUCCCCCCGUGCCACCCUCCUGCCAUGCACCCUGUAACGCGUUAUUCCAGGGCUCUCCCUGACUCCCCCCAGCAGCCACCCCUCGGAACAAGGGCCCUUCCUCCCAGCCCCUCGCAGGGCACGUUCUCGAGCUUCCGUCUCGCACCCGGUCCUUCCCCCCCGCAGAGGACAUGCAGAGGGUGGGGGCCAUCCUUGCAGCCUUUGGCCAGUGCGGGCCGGGUGAGGGGGACGGGCUAACCCAUGGCACCCGGCAGAAGGUACGCCCCGUCCGGGGUGAUUAUAAGCUGGUCCCGGAGAUAAGCGCUUUCCUGGAGAGCCCAGAGUGUGGUAGCAAACAGCAGGACAGAGGGCAUGGAGCCAUGCAUGGGCGCUUCCCACAGAAGCUGCCAGCCAAGGCAGGUGUCAGAGGGGAAGCAGGCCCUCCCAAACAGCAGAGGAUGGGCUCGCAGUGCAGGCAAGUGGGCUGUGCACCGGCCGCCCGCCAGACCCCGGGGCAGAGCGCGGACCAACCACACGGGCACCGCAGCCCCGCCCUCAGAGAUCUGAACGGAGAACAGUCCACAGGCAUGCUUGCAAACGUCUCCAGGAAGGAAAGGGCAGCUGGCUCCAGGAUGGGGAGGGGUGCUGCCGGAGGGAGGGUCCCGCGGGGUCAGAGCCCAGCAGGCACAGCUGGAGGGGAGACAGCCAAGGCCGGGCGCCCCGUCCCUCGUCCCUCGGGAAGCAGUACACGGUUUCACCUCCAUCUCCACGGGCCCUUUCCCCGGCUCGGCUCAGCUACAUCUUCUCAGUGUGGAUCGGGACUCCCAGAACUCCCUGCUGCCCCUUCACCAUCCCUUGGGACACACCUGAAUGUCCUCUUCUCUGAGGAGCCUUGCUGGUGGCUCCUCUGUGUCCCCGAAGCGUGUGACUUGAUGGACUGGCUGUGCUAAUGAGCCGUGUAAACCUUCGCUUGCCUGUGUGUCUCCCGCCAGGCUGGGAGGGUAGCGCGGGGCUCAAGGAGCCCCCCUGCCCCCGCCCCCUGAGCAGGAUACCGAGGGGCACCCCUCCCCAUCUGACCAGUGAUGGGGAGCCACAGGACAGGGAGAGCAGUGGUGGGGGGCUGGGGAGCCAGGGUUUCACACACCUGCCUUAUGCACCUGGCGUCUGCCGUGCUCACCAGCAUUGCCAGAGGACCCUCCCAGGAUCUUACAGGGUAAGGCCUCACACGGCCAUCUGGGGAGAAGCCCACUUGGCCCAAAUCAAAGCCUGCAGGCAUCUGAUGUCAGGGAGGGCCGCAAACUGUGAGUUUAGGGGGGCACUCGGGGGUGUAUUUGGGGGGCAGCAUGGAAAGGUAGUUUGGGGGCACAUAGGGGAAGUUUUCUGUGCCGAGUAUAGAAUGUGUGUUAUAUCUACUAGGCAAGAAAGAGCAUCAUCCUUGUGGAGCCCCAGCCACAGAGAGACGCCCACCCACCUGCCGGGUACACACCCCACCUGCAGAGGAGAGCAAACCACUGCUCCUGGCUCAGAAAGUCCCUCAGGGGUGGGCGUGACUAUGCCCGGUGUCUCUGCAGUCCCUUCCUGACACCACACGCACAUCGGCCCCUGGCUGCAGGAAUUGCAGAGACAGGUGUCACCUGCUGUGUCUUGGACUUGGGGGGGGGGAACAGGGGCGUGUCAGGGAGGCGCGGUUCCUGGCCGGGUAGACCGCCUGUGUUGGCACCUUGCAUUUCCAUGUCCUGGUCCAUCGUACUACCUCCCCGGGCCUCAAUUUCCUGGCCUGUGAGAGGGCAUUGGGAGCCCUGAACAAAAGGGCCAUCGCCUCCACCGUCCUGAGCAGCAGCGCAUGUCCCCACACCUGCUACGGGCAGAGGCGGGGGCGUCUCCAGAUGAUGAAACCGCACAGGCCAUCCCGUCACCCGGUGGGUCCGCUUACUCACCAGCAGUGGGGAAAUUGGGCAAUUGGAGCUCUAAAAAACAAUGCAAGGGUCAAGGGCAAAGUCAAACCUUCAAAGGUUUGUAAUCCAGAGGCCCCUCCAAGGGGAGCUGUUUUUAACCUGGGGAAAAAAAAACAAAAAAAAAAGUUGUGUCGUGUUCCUUGAUCGACAUCGGGGAUGAUGUAAAUCCGUGCAAGCGCCUGGCCGCUGCCCUGUCCCCCCAAGUGACAAAGGGCUCCGUCCCCACACUAAAGGCACACCCCCUGCCCCACUAAUCCGAGCAGGGAAAUAACCUCGCUCCUGUCCCAACCACACAGCCCAGAUCCUAGACGCGGGAGCUCAGGGGGGUGCCCAGGGCCGGUGUCCGAGGGGCCCUGGGAAAGGACAGGGCUUCCCUCCGCGAGGGAGGGCACCCAACCACAUGCGCACCCCAGGGUGCUGUUGGGGUCGGGGCACCAAGUGCCAGACACAUGGGGGUGUCCGAAUGUGUUCAUUCCCUUGACCUUCGCCUGAAACUAAGGCCCAACUGUCAUGGGUUAGACCAGCCUCACGUCACCUGGGGCCUGGGUAGAGAGGCACAUUCCCGGCCCCACCUGGACCCUGACUGGCAAGCUCUGAAUCAGGUGCCCAUCCCUCCUGGGGGACCCUGAGGCUUGCUCCAGCUUGAGCCUCGGGCUCAGCAAACCCCCCUCCACUCUUGCUGAAGGCCAGCCUGCAAGAACCAGAGUGGAGAGCUGCGGGGGGAGCGAUGGUCAGGAGAGUCACGGCAGCAGGUGGGUGAUGGACAGAACUCUGCAGGAGCUGACAGACAGCCGCCUUGGUCCCCAUGCUCCCCAGAUGGAGUCCCACGAGCCAUUUCUACUCUUCAUGGCCCUGCGUAGAAAGGAAAGGUGCGACCAGAAGAGCCUUCCCGGGUCCCUGCUUGGCUCUCAGGCAGGAUUGGUUUGGUUGAACGUUGAUGACCAUCUCCUGGAGAUGAGGUCUGUGGUCUCGUUAGACGGACAGAAGUGUCCAUGACUCUGAUGAGGA